GAUGAACGCUGGCGGCGUGCCUAAUACAUGCAAGUCGAGCGAACAGACGAGGAGCUUGCUCCUUCGACGUUAGCGGCGGACGGGUGAGUAACACGUAGGUAACCUACCUAUAAGACUGGGAUAACUUCGGGAAACCGGAGCUAAUACCGGAUAAUAUUUCGAACCGCAUGGUUCGAUAGUGAAAGAUGGCUUUGCUAUCACUUAUAGAUGGACCUGCGCCGUAUUAGCUAGUUGGUAAGGUAACGGCUUACCAAGGCAACGAUACGUAGCCGACCUGAGAGGGUGAUCGGCCUCACUGGAACUGAGACACGGUCCAGACUCCUACGGGAGGCAGCAGUAGGGAAUCUUCCGCAAUGGGCGAAAGCCUGACGGAGCAACGCCGCGUGAGUGAUGAAGGUCUUCGGAUCGUAAAACUCUGUUAUUAGGGAAGAACAAACGUGUAAGUAACUGUGCACGUCUUGACGGUACCUAAUCAGAAAGCCACGGCUAACUACGUG
rnacentral:rRNA from 1 species